ACGUCGAACGACAUAGUGGCAGACGGGUGAGUAAGGCGUGGAAACGUACCUUUCACUACGGAAUAGCUCUUGGAAACGGGUGGUAAUACCGUAUACGCCCUUCGGGGGAAAGAUUUAUCGGUGAAAGAUCGGUCCGCGUUAGAUUAGCUAGUUGGUGAGGUAAGAGCUCACCAAGGCGACGAUCUAUAGCUGGUCUGAGAGGAUGAUCAGCCACACUGGGACUGAGACACGGCCCAGACUCCUACGGGAGGCAGCAGUGGGGAAUAUUGCACAAUGGGCGAAAGCCUGAUGCACCCAUGCCGCGUGAAUGAUGAAGGCCUUAGGGUUGUAAAAUUCUUUCGCUAGGGAUGAUAAUGACAGUACCUAGUAAAGAAGCCCCGGCUAACUUCGUGCCAGCAGCCGCGGUAAUACCAAGGGGGCUAGCGUUGUUCGGAAUUACUGGGCGUAAAGCGCACGUAGGCGGGUUAUUAAGUCAGAUGUGAAAUCCCAAGGCUCCACCUUGGAACUGCCUUUGAAACUGAUAGCCUAGAGAUCAGGAGAGGUUAGCGGAAUACCGAGUGUAGAGGUGAAAUUCGUAGAUAUUCGGUGGAAC
rnacentral:rRNA from 1 species